GUUAAACAAGGGAGAGUGAGACCAGCACGUGCCCGAUGCUUCAGUUGAAAAAACUUCAGCUACAAACGAGUGGAAGAGGUAUUUCCCUUCCAGACCUUCGUUUUCGGUCCCCUUUCAGCGCUGUAUCAGGCAAGGAAGAGACAAGAUUGCAGAAGAUUCAGCUGCUUCUGAGAAGUGAGAUGUUGUUACCAUGAGCAGGAACAAAAAAGAACAAACAGGAUUAAGUCUCUUGUACUGCCUUCCUGCUUCCCUCCAUCUACCAGAAAGAUUUAUUUUUUUUUUUUAAAUGCAGAAAAUUAUUUCUUUUCUAACAGAAACAGCUGAGAGAUUUGACUCAUCACUCGCCAUCCUCCAAAACCAGAAGCUGCCCCUGUGAGCUGCUAGCUGACUGAAUUCUGUACACUGCAAAGCAAGUUUGCAUUUCCCCGGAGGUGAUUGGAAAUGAUCUUGCUGAGCUCUCCAGUAUUAAAGUUGAUGUAUGUUUCCCUGCAUCCAAGGUUUUUUCCAGGAUUGCAUAAAGCAGGCUGAGUUUAGGAGCAGCUUCAUUUCACCUUUUGGAAAUGAACAACUUCUGGGUUAUUUUCAAGCUUUUUGGUAGCCAGAAUAGCAUAUUACUCAUCUGUUCUUGUUAAACAGAUUUCAGGAAUGUCUGCAGUGCCAGGAGCUCAUGUAUUAAGGAUAUAUAACAAGUUGUUUCUUUUGGUGCCUUGUGCUCUGGCAGUGUGUUGUAUCUCUGAAUGCCUUUAAAAUGCCAGGAACAGAUCAGAUGCCCAGAAGACAGUCAGGUCCAGAUGUGCUUGUGUGUUUGGGGUAGUCCAUUUCUAUACAGGGAGGUUUCCGAAGCAAGCAGCAAAGGCAUCUAGGGUGAACUCCAGAUCUGUGCAUCUUCCCAGCAGAGUGGCCACUUACACGCUGUGUAAUUGCUUGUAGUUAAAUUGGAUCACUUUGUAAUGUGAUACAUACAGAGCCAUAUCUGAUUGAGGCAUUAUGCCCAGUAUUGCCUUCUACGAAGUAUUAACAAAUUGAAAGGCAAGGUGUUGUCUUACAAUAGUGAAUUUUUAAUGAAUAAUGAAAAUUAAAUUCCUUUUUCCCCAAAA